rnacentral:rRNA from 1 species
UAGGGAAUCUUCCACAAUGGGCGCAAGCCUGAUGGAGCAACACCGCGUGAGUGAAGAAGGGUUUUCGGCUCGUAAAGCUCUGUUGUUAGAGAAGAACGUGCGUGAGAGCAACUGUUCACGCAGUGACGGUAUCUAACCAGAAAGUCACGGCUAACUACGUGCCCG